rnacentral:rRNA from 1 species
UGAGUAACACGUAUCCAACCUGCCGUCUACUCUUGGCCAGCCUUCUGAAAGGAAGAUUAAUCCAGGAUGGCAUCAUGAGUUCACAUGUCCGCAUGAUUAAAGGUAUUUUCCGGUAGACGAUGGGGAUGCGUUCCAUUAGAUAGUAGGCGGGGUAACGGCCCACCUAGUCAACGAUGGAUAGGGGUUCUGAGAGGAAGGUCCCCCACAUUGGAACUGAGGCACGGUCCAA